GCGCCUGUAGCUCAGCUGGAUCAGAGUACUUGGCUACGAACCAAGGGGUCGGGAGUUCGAAUCUCUCCAGGCGUACCA
rnacentral:tRNA from 1 species